rnacentral:tRNA from 1 species
GGGAAAUUAGCGCAGUUGGUUAGCGCGUAGGUCUCAUACCCAAUAUGAAGGUCGAACUCGACUUGCAAUCCUAAGGUCGCCGGUUCGAAUCCGGCAUUUCCCA